AGUGAACGCUGGCGGUAGGCCUAACACAUGCAAGUCGAACGGCAGCACAGGAGAGCUUGCUCUCUGGGUGGCGAGUGGCGGACGGGUGAGGAAUACAUCGGAAUCUACUCUGUCGUGGGGGAUAACGUAGGGAAACUUACGCUAAUACCGCAUACGACCUACGGGUGAAAGCAGGGGACCUUCGGGCCUUGCGCGAUUGAAUGAGCCGAUGUCGGAUUAGCUAGUUGGCGGGGUAAAGGCCCACCAAGGCGACGAUCCGUAGCUGGUCUGAGAGGAUGAACAGCCACACUGGAACUGAGACACGGACCAGACUCCUACGGGAGGCAGCAGUGGGGAAUAUUGGACAAUGGGCGCAAGCCUGACCCAGCCAUACCGCGUGGGUGAGGAAGGCCUUCGGGUUGUAAAGCCCUUUUGUUGGGAAAGAAAUCCAGCUGGCUAAUACCCGGUUGGGAUGACGGUACCCAAAGAAUAAGCACCGGCUACUUCGUGCCAGCAGCCGCCGCGG
rnacentral:rRNA from 1 species